UAUGGAGUGUCCCCGAAAUGUGCCCAGUUCACUGUGUUAGUUGGGGGAUGCAGCAGUGGACGAGCUAUGCACCCUGCCUGCCUGCCUGUCUGCCCUCUGCAAUUCAGAGUCUCGGGAGGAAGGCAAAGCCUAUUCUAAUGAUGAGGCGCCAUGGGACAAUGAGGUUCAAUCCCUUGCUCCAGGUCAGGCUCUUGCCAGAUACUGAAUUACAUGCAGCCAGAGCUGGGCUGAAGUUGCAGAAAACACAUGUGGAAAAAAGCACCAUUUUGGAGAUGAGGAACCUGAGGCUUACAGAGGUAUGAGUUAAAUGAC